UCUACGGGUGGCUGCAGUGAGGAAUAUUGGUCAAUGGGCGUAAGCCUGAACCAGCCAAGUCGCGUGAGGGAUGAAGGUUCUAUGGAUCGUAAACCUCUUUUAUAAGGGAAUAAAGUGUGGGACGUGUCCUGUUUUGUAUGUACCUUAUGAAUAAGGAUCGGCCAACUCCGUGCCAGCAGCCUCGGUAAUACGGAGGAUCCGAGCGUUAUCCGGUUUUAUUGGGUUUAAAGGGUGCGUAGGCCGACGCUUAAGUCAGCGGUAAAAUUGCGGGGUUCAACCUCGUCGAGCCGUUGAAUCUGGGUGCCUUGAGUGGGCGAGAGGUACGCGGAAUGCGUGGUGUAGCGGUGAAAUGCAUAGAUAUCACGCAGAACUCCGAUUGCGAAGGCAGCGUACCGGCGCCCAACUGACGCUGAAGCACGAAGGCGUGGGUAUCGAACAGGACUAGAUACCCGGGUAGUC
rnacentral:rRNA from 1 species